rnacentral:rRNA from 1 species
GAUGAACGCUGGCGGCGUGCCUAAUACAUGCAAGUCGAACGCAGUGGGGACGGGUGAGUAACACGUGGGUAACCUCCCAUCAGAGGGGUUAACACGUGGAAACAGGUGCUAAACCGCUACUGAUGGAUGGACCCGCGGUGCAUUAGCUAGUUGGGGAGGUAACGGCCAACAAAGGCCACGAUGCAUAGCUGACCUGAGAGGGUGAUCGGCCACACUGGGGGUGUGGCCGGGCCCGGACUCCUACGGGAGGCAGCGGUAGGGAAGCUUCGGCAAUUGACGAAAGUCUGAGCUAGCAACGCCACGUGUGUGAAGAAGGUCUUCGGGUCGUAAACCUCUGCUGUGGGGGAAGCGUUAUGUAACCAGAAAGGCACGGCUAACUCCGUGCCAGCAGCCGCGGUAAUAC